rnacentral:rRNA from 1 species
AACGAACGCUGGCGGCAUGCCUAACACAUGCAGGUCGAACGAGACCUUCGGGUCUAGUGGCGCACGGGUGCGUAACGCGUGGGAACCUGCCCUUAGGUUCGGAAUAACUCCCCGAAAGGGGUGCUAAUACCGGAUAAUGUCUUCGGACCAAAGAUUUAUCGCCUUUGGAUGGGCCCGCGUUGGAUUAGCUAGUUGGUAGGGUAAAAGCCUACCAAGGCGACGAUCCAUAGCUGGUCUGAGAGGAUGAUCAGCCACACUGGGACUGAGACACGGCCCAGACUCCUACGGGAGGCAGCAGUGGGGAAUAUUGGACAAUGGGCGAAAGCCUGAUCCAGCAAUGCCGCGUGAGUGAUGAAGGCCUUAGGGUUGUAAAGCUCUUUUACCCGGGAUGAUAAUGACAGUACCGGGAGAAUAAGCUACGGCUAACUCCGUG